ACGCGAAAACUUUACAAUGCUGGCAACAGCGAUAAGGGAACCUCGAGUGCCAGGUUACAAAUCUGGCUGUCGAGAUGCCCAAAAAGCAUUUCAUAGCAAGGGCCGGGCAAGACCGGUGCCAGCCGCCGCGGUAACACCGGCGGCUCGAGUGGUAACCGUUAUUAUUGGGUCUAAAGGGUCUGUAGCCGGCCGGAUAAGUCUCUUGAGAAAUCUGGCAGCUUAACUGUCAGGCUUUCAGGAGAUACUGUCUGGCUCGAGGCCGGGAGAGGUGAGAGGUACUUCAGGGGUAGGGGUGAAAUCUUGUAAUCCUUGAAGGACCACCAGUGGCGAAGGCGUCUCACCAGAACGGACCUGACGGCAAGGGACGAAAGCUAGGGGCACGGACCG
rnacentral:rRNA from 1 species